GUGGCCCAGCCUGCGUAUGAAUGAAAAUUAAAAACAUAGAAGGGUUGAUUAUCAACGAGUUUUUCUUCAACGGUAUAUAUAGGCAAUCGAUUUGACCGAUGUCUGGUCUAUUAUACGAUACUACUUAAGGAAAGACUUGUACCAAUCGGGAUAUGCAAUUAAUGGUACCUGAAAAGCUACAAACUUGAAAGGGCUCUCUGGAUGGAAGCGACCAUCAUGAUCAAGCCAUCUUUCUGGUUUGAAGUCUUGUGCAUCAUCACCCCAUAUGAACUCCAUCCUUCCCAUUGCAUAUGGCAGAUAAGAUAUGGUGUCCCCUUUCUUUACCAUACAACCGUCUGGUAGAACAUCAUCUGAAAGGCAUGUCUUUGGGUCCUUCAUACAUGAUUUGUUCUCAUCACAUUCACAUUAUAAUUGUUAGGAAAGUAUAGAUGCAAUAACACUUUUAGAUGAUCUUUGUGGUCUUAAAGAACUAAUUUAACUGCUUAAGUUUUUAUUUA